CCGGAUUUACUGGGUGUAAAGGGCGUGUAGGCGGGAGAGCAAGUCAGACGUGAAAUUCCAGGGCUCAACCCUGGAACUGCGUUUGAAACUGUUCUUCUUGAGUGAUGGAGAGGCAGGCGGAAUUCCGUGUGUAGCGGUGAAAUGCGUAGAUAUACGGAGGAACACCAGUGGCGAAGGCGGCCUGCUGGACAUUAACUGACGCUGAGGCGCGAAAGCGUGGGGAGCAAACAGGAUUAGAUACC
rnacentral:rRNA from 1 species